CCUACGGGUGGCAGCAGUGAGGAAUAUUGGUCAAUGGACGAGAGUCUGAACCAGCCAAGUAGCGUGAAGGAUGACUGCCCUAUGGGUUGUAAACUUCUUUUAUAUGGGAAUAAAACGUUCCACGUGUGGGAUUUUGUAUGUACCAUAUGAAUAAGGAUCGGCUAACUCCGUGCCAGCAGCCGCGGUAAUACGGAGGAUCCGAGCGUUAUCCGGAUUUAUUGGGUUUAAAGGGAGCGUAGGUGGAUUGUUAAGUCAGUUGUGAAAGUUUGCGGCUCAACCGUAAAAUUGCAGUUGAAACUGGCAGUCUUGAGUACAGUAGAGGUGGGCGGAAUUCGUGGUGUAGCGGUGAAAUGCUUAGAUAUUACGAAGAACUCCGAUUGCGAAGGCAGUUCACUGGACUGCAACUGACACUGAGGCUCGAAAGUGUGGGUAUCAAACAGGAUUAGAUACCCUUGUAGUC
rnacentral:rRNA from 1 species